GAGGAUUUAGUUUAUAAAAAUAGCUGUUUUGCAUACAGCAGAUGUUAGGUUGAUCUAGCAGUCCUUA
rnacentral:tRNA from 1 species